AGUCGAGCGGACGAAGGGAGCUUGCUCCCGGAUGUUAGCGGCGGACGGGUGAGUAACACGUGGGUAACCUGCCUGUAAGACUGGGAUAACUCCGGGAAACCGGAGCUAAUACCGGAUAGUUCCUUGAACCGCAUGGUUCAAGGAUGAAAGACGGUUUCGGCUGUCACUUACAGAUGGACCCGCGGCGCAUUAGCUAGUUGGUGAGGUAACGGCUCACCAAGGCGACGAUGCGUAGCCGACCUGAGAGGGUGAUCGGCCACACUGGGACUGAGACACGGCCCAGACUCCUACGGGAGGCAGCAGUAGGGAAUCUUCCGCAAUGGACGAAAGUCUGACGGAGCAACGCCGCGUGAGUGAUGAAGGUUUUCGGAUCGUAAAGCUCUGUUGUUAGGGAAGAACAAGUGCAAGAGUAACUGCUUGCACCUUGACGGUACCUAACCAGAAAGCCACGGCUAACUACGUGCCAGCAGCCGCGGUAAUACGUAGGUGGCAAGCGUUGUCCGGAAUUAUUGGGCGUAAAGGGCUCGCAGGCGGUUUCUUAAGUCUGAUGUGAAAGCCCCCGGCUCAACCGGGGAGGGUCAUUGGAAACUGGGAAACUUGAGUGCAGAAGAGGAGAGUGGAAUUCCACGUGUAGCGGUGAAAUGCGUAGAGAUGUGGAGGAACACCAGUGGCGAAGGCGACUCUCUGGUCUGUAACUGACGCUGAGGAGCGAAAGCGUGGGGAGCGAACAGGAUUAGAUACCCUGGUAGUCCACGCCGUAAACGAUGAGUGCUAAGUGUUAGGGGGUUUCCGCCCCUUAGUGCUGCAGCUAACGCAUUAAGCACUCCGCCUGGGGAGUACGGUCGCAAGACUGAAACUCAAAGGAAUUGACGGGGGCCCGCACAAGCGGUGGAGCAUGUGGUUUAAUUCGAAGCAACGCGAAGAACCUUACCAGGUCUUGACAUCCUCUGACAACCCUAGAGAUAGGGCUUUCCCUUCGGGGACAGAGUGACAGGUGGUGCAUGGUUGUCGUCAGCUCGUGUCGUGAGAUGUUGGGUUAAGUCCCGCAACGAGCGCAACCCUUGAUCUUAGUUGCCAGCAUUCAGUUGGGCACUCUAAGGUGACUGCCGGUGACAAACCGGAGGAAGGUGGGGAUGACGUCAAAUCAUCAUGCCCCUUAUGACCUGGGCUACACACGUGCUACAAUGGACAGAACAAAGGGCUGCGAGACCGCAAGGUUUAGCCAAUCCCACAAAUCUGUUCUCAGUUCGGAUCGCAGUCUGCAACUCGACUGCGUGAAGCUGGAAUCGCUGUAUCGCGA
rnacentral:rRNA from 1 species